ensembl:misc_RNA Metazoa_SRP Metazoan signal recognition particle RNA
GCCAGAUGCGGCUGUAGUCCCAGCUACUCGAGAGGCUGAGGCAGGCGGAUCACUGGAGUCCAGGAGUUCUGGGCUGUAGUGUGUUCUGCCGAUCGGGUGUCUGCACCAAGUUCGGCAUCAAUCUGAUGUCCUCCAGGAAGACUGGAGCCACCAGAUUGCCUAGGGAGCGGUGAACCGGCCCAGGUUGGAAAGAGAACAGGUCAAAACUCCACUGCUGGUCAGUAGUGGGAUUGUGCCUGUGAAUAGCCACUGCACUCCAGCUUAGACAACAUAGGCAGAACUUAUCUCA